GACAUAGGUGGCGAACGUUAUCCGGAAUUAUUGGGCGUAAAGGAUGCGUAGAUGGUUCAAUAAGUUACUGGUGGGAAAUCGAGGCUCAACCUCGUGGAAGUUGGUAAUACUGUUGAACUCGAGUGCAGGAGAGGUUAACGGAACUUUAUGUGGAGCGGUAAAAUGCGUAGAUAUAUGAAAGAACACCAAUAUAGCGAAGGCAGUUAACUAUUCUGCUACUGACAUUGAGGCAUGAAAGCGUGGGGAGCAAAACGG
rnacentral:rRNA from 1 species